UGUUUACAUACCUCCGUAGCAGAACCUCCAGGUUCUAUAACAGCUUCUGUAAGAGUCUAGAACUCAUCAUAAUAAUCUCCUCAAUUCCCCCCAAAAACGUAGUAAGUGGCUGGACUAUAAAGACAAUAAAACAUCCAUCCAUAAACCUGCAUACUUUUACAAGUGUAAUACAUUUAUCUGGAGAGUACAUCUAUUUAUUUAUAUCUGCACCUUAUUGCUCUUUUAUUCUGCAUUACAAGCAGCUCAUGCAACAACAUUUACUUCUUAUCCGUACUACAAAGUUCACAUCGCCAUGACAACCACAGGAAGUGUAAGUCCAAGUGUCCAAGUGUACAAGUCAUGGACAUGUUUGGCAUCAAUCAACACAAACUCAUCAACCUGGGAAUGUCACACACACACAUCUUCUCCUGCUUUUAGGACACUAAGCAUCUGCGCUGACUACACACACACACACACACACACACACACACACACACACACGUGUGAUGUUCCUGGUGUGUCAGCAUUGUGCAACACAAGUGUGUAGAAGUGAGUCACUGCAGCAGAAGUUGUGUUUCAAAAGUGGAGCAGCUGCUUGAGUGUUGGAGAACUUUCAGUCCCCACAAAGAUGGCGCUGGGUGUCCUGCUGGUCUUUCUGGUCCUGCUGGUGUCCAUGACUGGCAGCGACCCUCUCUCUGGCGCGGUGGUGAGGCGGACGGACUGGGACCGAGCCCAGGACUUACUGGCAGCAGUUUGGCUACGUGAAGGAGACCACAGACCCUCAGGACCCUCAACACCUGCAGGAGGUGACUCAAGCUCUCAGAAUCCCAGUCCUGCUGGAGGAGAACUUGGCAUGCAUGGUCCUCCGAGCAGUAAAAAGAAAAAACCUGACAAGGUGGACUAAGGACGGCAGAAAGUGGCUCACGUAUUCUUCACCGAGACCGUUGUCCCUGACCUGGGUUUUGAAAGCGGCUCUCAGACGUGGACCAUGGACCUGGCGGCGGCGGUGAGAGGCACGGUGGAGGCGCUGUCGCAGUCCAGGUCCACGGCGGUCUGGUUGGACGUGCUCUGGCUGCUAAGGGACGUGCUGGUGCUCAUUUGUCUGUCCCGGAGACUUUGGAGGUAGCUCUGAGGGACACAGGAGGACCAGGACGCUCGCAUUAUUGCAGAAUCACAGACAAGCUGACACCCGGACCUUCGGGACCCAAAGAGGUGUUCAUGUGUUUGUUCAAUAUAAAUAACAUUUAUAUUGAACAUUUAGGUUGAGAUUCUACACCUAGGUUCAGAUUUUACAUAUAGGUUUAGAUUUAACGUUUAACACUUAGGUUUAGAUUUGACAUGGAGAUUUGUAUUUAACAUUUAGGUUUAGUUUUAACAUUUAUGUUUAGAUUUACUAUCAAGAUUUACUAUUUAGAUUUAACAUUAUAUUUACAGUUAACAUUAAGGUUUAUAUUUAACAUUCAGGUUUAAAUUUAACAUUUAGAUUUACAUUCAACAUUAAGAUUAAACAUUUAGGUUUAGAUUCUAAACCUAGGUUCAGAUUUAAUAUAUCGGUUUAGAUUCAACGUUUACACUUAGAUUUAACAUUUAGGUUUAGAUUUGACAUUCAAGUUUAAAUUGAACAUUUAGACUCAACAUUGUUAUUAAACAUUAAGGCUUAGAUUGAACACUUAGGUUAAGAUUUGACAUGUAGAUUUGUAUUUAACACUAGGGUUUACAUUUACUAUAAAGAUUACAUUUAGAUUUAACAUUAAGGUUUGAAUUUAACAUUUAGAUUUACAUUCAAAAUUGAGAUUAAACAUUUAGGUUUGGAUUUAACAUUUAGAUUUACAUUAAACAUUGAGAUGAAACAUUUUGGUUUGGAUUAAACAUUUAGAUUUAGAGAACAUUUAUAUUUAACAUUUAGGUUUAUAUUCUAAACCUAUUUAACAUAUAGGUUUAGAUUCAACGUUUAGCCUUAGAUUUAAAUGUAACAUUUGGGUUUAGAUUUAACAUUUAGAUUUAUAAAUAACAUUUAUAUUUAACAUUUAGGUUGAGAUUCUACACCUAGGUUCAGAUUUUACAUAUAGGUUUAGAUUUAACGUUUAACACUUAGGUUUAGAUUUGACAUGGAGAUUUGUAUUUAACAUUUAGGUUGAGUUUUAGCAUUUAUGUUUAGAUUGACCACCUCGGUUUAGAUUUACUAUCAAGAUUACAUUUAGAUUUAAGAUUAUAUUUAUAGUUAGCAUUAAGGUUUAUAUUUAACAUUCAGAUUUACAUUCAACAUUAAGAUUAAACAUUUAGAUUUAGAUAUAACAUUUUUAACAUUUAGGUUGAGAUUCUACACCUAGGUUCAGAUUUAAUAUAUCGGUUUGGAUUCAACGUUUACACUUAGAUUUAACAUUUAGGUUUAGAUUUGACAUUUAUAUUUCCCAUUUAGGUUUAUAUUUAACAUGUAGAUUCAACAUUGUUAUUAAACAUUAAGGCUUAGAUUGAACACUUAGGUUAAGAUUUGACAUGGAGAUUUGUAUUUAAUAUUUAGGUUUAGAUUUAACAUUUGGGUUUACAUUUACUAUAAAGAUUACAUUUAGAUUUAACAUUAAGGUUUGAAUUUAACAUUUAGAUUUACAUUCAAAAUUGAGAUUAAACAUUUAAAUUUGGAUUAAACAUUUAGGUUUGGAUUAAACAUUUAGAUUUAGAGAUAACAUUUAUAUUUAACAUUUAGGUUUAUAUUCUAUACCUAGGUUUAAAGAUUUGACAUGGAGAUUUAUAUUUAACAUUUAGUUUUAUAAAUAACAUCUAGUUUUAAAUUCUAUACCUAGGUUCAGAUUUAACAUAGGUUUAGAUUCAACGUUUAUAGUUAGAUUUAACAUUUAGGUCUAGAUUUAACAUUUAGAUUUAUAAAUAACAUUUAACUUUAAAUUCUAUACCUAGGUUUAAAUUUAACAUAUAGGUUUAGAUUUAACGUUUAGACCUAGGUUUAACACUUUGGUUUAGAUUUGACAUGGAAAUUUGUAUUUAACAUUUAGGUUUAGUUUUAACAUUUAUGUUUAGAUUUACCACCUAGGUUUAGAUUUACUAUCAAGAUUAUAUUUAGAUUUAACAUUAUAUUUAUAGUUAACAUUAAGUGUUAUAUUUAACAUUCAGGUUUAAAUUUAACAUUUAGAUUUACAUUCAACAUUAAGAUUAAACAUUUAGGUUUAGAUAUAACAUAUUUAACAUUUAAGUUGAGAUUCUACACCUAGGUUCAGAUUUAAUAUAUCGGUUUAAAUUCAACGUUUACACUUAGAUUUAACAUUUAGGUUUAGAUUUGACAUUAAGGUUUAGGUUUAACAUUUAUAUUUCACAUUUAGGUUUAUAUUUAACAUUCAAGUUUAAAUUUAACAUUUAGAUUCAACAUUGUUACUAAACAUUAAGGCUUAGAUUGAACACUUAAGAUUUGACAUGGAGAUUUGUAUUUAAUUUUUAGGUUUAGAUUUAACAUUGGGGUUUACAUUUACUAUAAAGAUUACAUUUAGAUUUAUAUUUAACAUUAAGGUUUAUAUUUAACAUUUAGGUUUAUAUUUAACAUUAAGGUUUGAAUUUAACAUUUAGAUUUACAUUCAAAUCUGAGAUUAAACAUUUAGGUUUGGAUUAAACAUUUAGGUAUAGAUUUAACAUUUAGAUUUACAUUAAACAUUGAGAUGAAACAUAUUGGAUUAAACAUUUAGAUUUAGAGAUAACAUUUAUAUUUAACAUUUAGGUUUAAAUUCUAUACCUAGGUUCAGAUUUAACAUAUAGGUUUAGAUUCAACGUUUAGACUUAGAUCUAAAUGUAACAUUUAGGUUUAGAUUUAACAUUAAGGUUUAGGCUUAACAUUUAUAUUUAACAUUUAGGUUUAUAUUUAACAUUCAAGUUUAAACCUAACAUUUGGAUUAAACAUUGUUAUUAAACAUUAAGGCUUAGAUUGAACACUUAGGUUAAGAUUUGACAUGGAGAUUUAACAUCAAGGUUUAUAUUUAACAUUUAGGUUUAUAUUUAACAUUUGGAUUUACAUUCAAAUCUGAGAUUAAACAUUUAGGUUUGGAUUAAACAUUUAGGUUUAGAUUUAACAUUUAGAUUUACAUUAAACAUUGAGAUGAAACAUUUUGGUUUAUAUUUAACAUUUAGGUUUAUAUUUAACAUUAAGGUUUGGGUUUAACAUUUACAUUUACACUAAACAUUAAGAUGAAACAUAUUGGUUUGGAUUAAACGUUUAGAUUUAGAGAUAACAUUUAUAUUUAACAUUUAGGUUUAUAUUCUAUACCUAGGUUUAAAGAUUUGACAUGGAGAUUUAUAUUUAACAUUUAGUUUUAAAUUCUAUACCUAGGUUCAGAUUUAACAUAUAGGUUUAGAUUCAACGUUUAUAGUUAGAUUUAACAUUUAGGUCUAGAUUUAACAUUUAGAUUUAUAAAUAACAUUUAACUUUAAAUUCUAUACCUAGGUUCAGAUUUAACAUAUAGGUUCAGAUUUAACGUUUAGACCUAGGUUUAACACUUUGGUUUAGAUUUGACAUGGAGAUUUGUUUUAACAUUUAUGUUUAGAUUUACCACGUAGGUUUAGAUUUACUAUCAAGAUUACAUUUGGAUUUAACAUUAUAUUUACAGUUAACAUUAAGGUUUAUAUUUAACAUUCAGGUUUAAAUUUAACAUUUAGAUUUACAUUCAACAUUAAGAUUAAACAUUUAGGUUUGGAUAUAACAUAUUUAACAUUUAGGUUGAGAUUCUACUCCUAGGUUCAGAUUUAAUAUAUCGGUUUAGAUUCAACGUUUACACUUAGAUUUAACAUUUAGGUUUAGAUUUGAUUAAGGUUUAGGUUUAACAUUUAUAUUUGACAUUUAGGUUCAUAUUUAACAUUCAAGUUUAAAUUUAACAUUUAGAUUAAACAUUGUUAUUAAACAUUAAGGCUUAGAUUGAACACUUAGGUUAAGAUUUGACACGGAGAUUUGUAUUUAACAUUUAGGUUUAGAUUUAAGAUUAAAGUUUAUAUUUAACAUUUAGGUUUAUAUUUAACAUUAAGGUUUGAAUUUAACAUUUAGAUUUACAUUCAAAAUUGAGAUUAAACAUUUAGUUUUGGAUUUAGCAUUUAUAUUAAACAUUGAGAUGAAACAUUUUGGUUUAUAUCUAACAUUUAGGUUUAUAUUUAACAUUAAGGUUUGAAUUUAACAUUUAGAUUUGCAUUCAAAAUUGAGAUGAAACAUUUAGGUUCGGAUUAAUCAUUUAGGUUUGGAUUUAACAUUUAGAUUUACAUUAAACAUUGAGAUGAAACAUUUGGGUUUGGAUUAAACGUUUAGAUUUAGAGAUAACAUUUAGGUUUAUAUUCUAUACCUAGGUUUAGAUUUGACAUGGAGAUUUAUAUUUAACAUUUAGGUUUAAAUUCUAUACCUAGGUUCAGAUUUAACAUAUAGGUUUAGAUUUAGAUCUAAAUGUAACAUUUAGGUUUAGAUUUAACAUUAAGGUUUAGGCUUGACAUUUAUAUUUAACAUUUAAGUUUAUAUUUAACAUUCAAGUUUAAAUUUAACAUUUAUAUUAAACAUUGUUAUUAAACAUUAAGGCUUAGAUUGAACACUUAGGUUAAGAUUUGACAUGGAGAUUUGUAUUUAACAUUUAGGUUUAGAUUUAACAUUGGGUUUACAUUUACUAUAAAGAUUACAUUUAGAUUUAGAUUUAACAUUAAGGUUUAGAUUUAACAUUUAGGUUUAUAUUUAACAUUAGGGUUUGAAUUUAACAUUUAGAUUUAAAUUCAAAAUUGAGAUUAAACAUUUAGGUUUGGAUUAAACAUUUAGGUUUGGAUUUAACAUUUAGAUUUACAUUCAAAAUUGAGAUGAAACAUUUAGGUUUGGAUUUAACAUUUAGACUUACAUUAAACAUUGAGAUGAAACAUUUUGGUUUGGAUUAAAUGUUUAGAUUUAGAGAUGACAUUUAUAUUUAAAAUUUAGGUUUAUAUUCUAUACCUAGGUUUAGAUUUGACAUGGAGAUUUAUAUUUAACAUUUAGGUUUAAAUUCUAUACCUAGGUUCAGAUUUAACAUAUAGGUUUAGAUUCAACGUUUAGACUUAGAUCUAAAUGUAACAUUUAGGUUUACAUUCAACAUUAAGGUUUAGGUUUAACAUUUAUAUUUAACAUUUAGGUUUAUAUUUAACAUUUUGAUUAAAAAUUGUUAUUAAACCUUAAGGCUUAGAUUGAACACUUAGCUUAAGAUUUGAAAUGGAGAUUUGUAUUUAACAUUUAGGUUGAGUUUUAGCAUUUAUGUUGAGAUUUACCACCUAGGUUUAGAUUUACUAUCAAGAUUACAUUUAGAUUUAACAUUAUAUUUAUAGUUAACAUUAAGGUUUAUAUUUAACAUUCAGGUUUAAAUUUAACAUUUAGAUUUACAUUCAACAUUAAGAUUAAACAUUUAGGUUUGGAUAUAACAUAUUUAACAUUUAGGUUGAGAUUCUACACCUAGGUUCAGAUUUAAUAUAUCGGUUUGGAUUCAACGUUUACACUUAGAUUUAACAUUUAGGUUUAGAUUUGACAUUUAUAUUUCCCAUUUAGGUUUAUAUUUAACAUUCAAGUUUAAAUUUAACAUUUAGAUUCAACAUUGUUAUUAAACAUUAAGGCUUAGAUUGAACUCUUAGGUUAAGAUUUGACAUGGAGAUUUGUAUUUAACAUUUAGGUUUAGAUUUAACAUUUGGGUUUACAUUUACUAUAAAGAUUACAUUUAGAUUUAACAUCAAGGUUUAUAUUUAACAUUUAGGUUUAUAUUUAACAUUAAGGUUUGAAUUUAACAUUUGGAUUUACAUUCAAAUCUGAGAUUAAACAUUUAGGUUUGGAUUAAACAUUUAGGUUUGAAUUUAACAUUUAGGUUUGGGUUUAACAUUUACAUUAAACAUUUAACAUUUAGAUUUACAUUAAACAUUGAGAUGAAACAUUUAGGUUUAUAUUUAACAUUAAGGUUUGAAUUUAACAUUUAGGUUUGGGUUUAACAUUUACAUUAAACAUUAAGAUGAAACAUUUUGGUUUGGAUUAAACUUUUAGAUUUAGAGAUAACAUUUAUAUUUAACAUUUAGGUUUAUAUUCUAUACCUAGGUUUAAAGAUUUGACAUGGAGAUUUAUAUUUAACAUUUAGUUUUAAAUUCUAUACCUAGGUUCAGAUUAAACAUAUAGGUUUAGAUUCAACGUUUAUAGUUAGAUUUAACAUUUAGGUCUAGAUUUAACAUUUAGAUUUAUAAAUAACAUUUAACUUUAAAUUCUAUACCUAGGUUCAUAUUUAACACAUAGGUUUAGAUUUAACGUUUAGACCUAGGUUUAACACUUCGGUUUAGAUUUGACAUGGACAUUUGUUUUAACAUUUAGGUUUAGUUUUAACAUUUGUUUAGAUUUACCACGUAGGUUUAGAUUUACUAUCAAGAUUACAUUUGGAUUUAACAUUAUAUUUACAGUUAACAUUAAGGUUUAUAUUUAACAUUCAGGUUUAAAUUUAACAUUUAGAUUUACAUUCAACAUUAAGAUUAAACAUUUAGGUUUGGAUAUAACAUAUUUAACAUUUAGGUUGAGAUUCUACACCUAGGUUCAGAUUUAAUAUAUCGGUUUGGAUUCAACGUUUACACUUAGAUUUAACAUUUAGGUUUAGAUUUGACAUUUAUAUUUCCCAUUUAGGUUUAUAUUUAACAUUCAAGUUUAAAUUUAACAUUUAGAUUCAACAUUGUUAUUAAACAUUAAGGCUUAGAUUGAACUCUUAGGUUAAGAUUUGACAUGGAGAUUUGUAUUUAACAUUUAGGUUUAGAUUUAACAUUUGGGUUUACAUUUACUAUAAAGAUUACAUUUAGAUUUAACAUCAAGGUUUAUAUUUAACAUUUAGGUUUAUAUUUAACAUUAAGGUUUGAAUUUAACAUUUGGAUUUACAUUCAAAUCUGAGAUUAAACAUUUAGGUUUGGAUUAAACAUUUAGGUUUGAAUUUAACAUUUAGGUUUGGGUUUAACAUUUACAUUAAACAUUUAACAUUUAGAUUUACAUUAAACAUUGAGAUGAAACAUUUAGGUUUAUAUUUAACAUUAAGGUUUGAAUUUAACAUUUAGGUUUGGGUUUAACAUUUACAUUAAACAUUAAGAUGAAACAUUUUGGUUUGGAUUAAACUUUUAGAUUUAGAGAUAACAUUUAUAUUUAACAUUUAGGUUUAUAUUCUAUACCUAGGUUUAAAGAUUUGACAUGGAGAUUUAUAUUUAACAUUUAGUUUUAAAUUCUAUACCUAGGUUCAGAUUAAACAUAUAGGUUUAGAUUCAACGUUUAUAGUUAGAUUUAACAUUUAGGUCUAGAUUUAACAUUUAGAUUUAUAAAUAACAUUUAACUUUAAAUUCUAUACCUAGGUUCAUAUUUAACACAUAGGUUUAGAUUUAACGUUUAGACCUAGGUUUAACACUUCGGUUUAGAUUUGACAUGGACAUUUGUUUUAACAUUUAGGUUUAGUUUUAACAUUUAUGUUUAGAUUUACCACGUAGGUUUAGAUUUACUAUCAAGAUUACAUUUGGAUUUAACAUUAUAUUUACAGUUAACAUUAAGGUUUAUAUUUAACAUUCAGGUUUAAAUUUAACAUUUAGAUUUACAUUCAACAUUAAGAUUAAACAUUUAGGUUUGGAUAUAACAUAUUUAACAUUUAGGUUGAGAUUCUACACCUAGGUUCAGAUUUAAUAUAUCGGUUUAGAUUCAACGUUUACACUUAGAUUUAACAUUUAGGUUUAGGUUUAACAUUUAUAUUUCACAUUUAGGUUCAUAUUUAACAUUCAAGUUUAAAUUUAACAUUUAGAUUCAACAUUGUUAUUAAACAUCAAGGCUUAGAGUGAACACUUAGGUUAAGAUUUGACAUGGAGAUUUGUAUUUAAUUUUUAGGUUUAGAUUUAACAUUGGGGUUUACAUUUACUAUAAAGAUUACAUUUAGAUUUAUAUUUAACAUUAAGGUUUAUAUUUAACAUUUAGGUUUAUAUUUAACAUUAAGGUUUGAAUUUAACAUUUAGAUUUACAUUCAAAUCUGAGAUUAAACAUUUAGGUAUGGAUUUAACAUUUAGAUUUACAUUAAACAUUGAGAUGAAACAUUUUGGAUUGGAUUAAACAUUUAGAUUUAGAGAUAACAUUUAGGUUUAUAUUCUAUACCUAAGUUUAAAGAUUUGACACUGAGUUUUAUAUUUAACAUUUAGAUUUAUAAAUAACAUUUAGGUUUAAAUUCUAUACCUAGGUUCAGAUUUAACAUAUAAGUUUAGAUUAAACGUUUAGACUUAGAUUUAAAUGUAACAUUUGGGUUUAGAUUUAACAUUUAGAUUUAUAAAUAACAUUUAUGUUCAACAUGUAGGAUUAGAUUCUAUACCUAGGUUCAUAUUUGACAUAUAUGUUUAGAUUCAUCGUUUAGACUUAGAUUUAACAUUUAGGUUUAGAUUUAACAUUUAGAUUUAUAAAUAACCUUUAUGUUUAACAUGUAGGAUUAGAUUCUAUACCUAGGUUCAGAUUUAACAUAUAUGUUUGGAUUCAACGUUUAGACUUAGAUUUAACAUUUGGGUUUGGAUUUAACAUUUAGAUUUAUAAAUAACAUUUGUAUUUAACAUUUAAGUCUAGAUUCUAUACCUAGGUUCAUAUUUAACAUAUAGAUUUGGACUUAGAUUUGACAUGGAGAUUUAUAUUUAACAUUUAGAUUUAUAAAUAACAUUUAGGUUUAAAUUCUAUACCUAGGUUCAGAUUUAACAUAUAGGUUUAGAUUCAACGUUUAGACUUAGUUUUAAAUGUAACAUUUGGGUUUAGAUAUAACAUUUAUAUUUAACAUGUAGGAUUAGAUUCUAUACCAAGGUUCAGAUUUAACAUAUAUGUUUGGAUUCAACGUUUAGACUUAGAUUUUACAUUUAAAUUUAACAUUUGGGUUUAGAUUUAACAUUUAGAUUUAUAAAUAACAUUUGUAUUUAACAUUUAAGUCUAGAUUCUAUACCUAGGUUCAGAUUUAACAUAGAUUUGGACUUAGAUUUGACUUGGAGAUUUAUAUUUAACAUUUAGAUUUUUAAAUAACAUUUAGGUUUAAAUUCUAUACCUAGGUUCAGAUUUAACAUAGGUUUAGAUUCAACGUUUAGACUUAGAUUUAAAUGUAACAUUUGGGUUUAGAUUUAACAUUUAGAUUUAUAAAUAACAUUUAUGUUCAACAUGUAGGAUUAGAUUCUAUACCAAGGUUCAGAUUUAACAUAUAUGUUUGGAUUCAACAUUUAGACUUAGAUUUAACAUUUAGAUUUAUAAAUAACAUUUAUGUUCAACAUGUGGGAUUAGAUUCUAUACCUAGGUUCAGAUUUAACAUGUAUGUUUGGAUUCAUCGUUUAGACUUAGAUUUAACAUUUAAAUGUAAGAUUUGGGUUUAGAUUGAACAUUUAGAUUUAUAAAUAACAUUUAUGUUUAACAUGUAUGAUUAGAUUCUAUACCUAGGUUCAGAUUUAACAUAUAUGUUUGGAUUCAGCGUUUGGACUUAGAUUUAACAUUUGGGUUUAGAUUUAACAUUUAGAUUUAUAAAUAACAUUUGUAUUUAACAUUUAAGUCUAGAUUCUAUACCUAGGUUCAUAUUUAACAUAUAGAUUUGGACUUAGAUUUGACAUGGAGAUUUAUAUUUAACAUUUAGAUUUAUAAAUAACAUUUAGGUUUAAAUUCUAUACCUAGGUUCAGAUUUAACAUAUAGGUUUGGAUUCAACGUUUACACUUAGAUUUAACAUUUGGGUUUAGAUUUAACAUUUAGAUUUAUAAAUAACAUUUAUGUUUAACAUGUAGGAUUAGAUUCUAUACCUAGGUUCAUAUUUAACAUAUAGAUUUGGACUUAAAUUUGACAUGGAGAUUUAUAUUUAACAUUUAGAUUUAUAAAUAACAUUUAGGUUUAAAUUCUAUACCUAGGUUCAGAUUUAACAUAUAGGUUUAGAUUCAACGUUUAGACUUAGAUUUAACAUUUGGGUUUAGAUUUAACAUUUAGAUUUAUAAAUAACAUUUGUAUUUAACAUAUAGAUUUGGACUUAAAUUUGACAUGGAGAUUUAUAUUUAACAUUUAGAUAUAUAAAUAACAUUUGGGUUUAAAUUCUAUACCUAGGUUCAGAUUUAACAUAUAGGUUUGGAUUCAACGUUUAGAUUUAGAUUUAACUAUUUAAUGUAACAUUUGGGUUUAGAUUUAACAUUUAGAUUUAUAAAUAACAUUUAUGUUUAACAUUAAGGUUUAGAUUCUAUACCUAAGUUCAUAUUUAACAUAUAGAUUUGGACUUAGAUUCAACAUUUAGGUUUAGAUUUGUCAUGUAGAUGUAUAUUUCACAUUUGGGUUUAGAUGUAUCAUCAAGAUUGAGAUUAGACAUUUAGGUUUAGAUGCAGGAUUGAGCUUUGUCUUUGGAACAUUGCAUGCACAAGUAUAGAAUCUGACAGUCGGACCCUCGGAACCCAAAGAGUUGUUGAUGUUGUGUGCCUGAAGUCAGACAUUUAACAAGCGACCAUGAUGGCCCACAUUUGACUGAUUGUUCUAGAACAGGGGUGCCCAUUACGUGGAUCGCGAGCUACCAGUCGACCGCGGGGGGUGUGUCAGUCGAUCUCCAGCCAGGCUUUUAAAAAAAAUAGACCUAAAAAUGAGUGAUCAUCAAUCUUCACCAAGACGUCACUUAAAUGACAUUCACGGUACCGGAGGGUCUUGUGAGAUGACGCUGGCUGCUGCAAGAUCAUUAUUAUGAAAAUAUGACCGAGAG